rnacentral:rRNA from 1 species
UCUGGUUGAUCCUGCCAGUAGUCAUAUGCUUGUCUCAAAGACUAAGCCAUGCAUGUGUAAGUGUAAGCGAUUAACGGUGGGACUGCGAAUGGCUCAUUAAAACAGUGAUAGUUGAUGUGAUGGGUGCAGAUGGAUACCCGUAGUAAUUCUAGAGCUAAUACAUGCCACGUGUUUAUUAGAUCUCGUCCCGCUGGGAACAACAGUAAGCGAGAACCGCGUCGGGAGACGCGGGGCAUCAUGCAUGUUUCUGCCCUAUCAGCUUUGGAUGGUAGUGUCUUGGACUACCAUGGCAGUGACGGGUGACGGAGAAUUAGGGUUCGAUUCCGGAGAGGGAGCCUGAGAGACGGCUACCACAUCUAAGGAAGGCAGCAGGCGCGCAAAUUACCCAAUCCUGACUCAGGGAGGUAGUGACCAGAAAUAACGACGACGGGUUUCGAUUCGUCGAUUGCAAUGAGCACAAUGUAAAAUUCUUAGCGAGUACCGACUGGAGGGCAAGUCUGGUGCCAGCAGCCGCGGUAAUUCCAGCUCCAGUAGCGUAUAUUAAAGUUGUUGCAGUUAAAAAGCUCGUAGUUGGACGUCUCUGCGACACGCAGCUCCGCCACGCAACUGGGCACGCUCUUAACUGAGCGGCCGAGACCUGCGGGCCCUUUACCUUGAGGAAACUAGAGUGUUUAAGGCAGGCUCCGCCUGAAUACUGCAGCUGGGAAUAAUGCGCACGACUGUCUUGGCGAGGCAGCUCCACACUUUUAAUAGGAACAGUUGGGGGCAUUCGUACUCAGCAGUCAGAGGUGAAAUUCUUGGAUUUGCUGAAGACGGACUAGUGCGAAAGCAUUUGCCAAGGAUGUUUUCAUUAAUCAAGAACGAAAGUUAAGGGAUCCAAGACGAUCAGAUACCGUCCUAGUCUUAACCAUAAACGAUGCCGACUAGGGAUCGGGAGAGACGUACACACUCUCUCGGCACCUCACGAGAAAUCCAAGUCUUUGGGUUCUGGGGGGAGUAUGGUCGCAAGACUGAAACUUAAAGGAAUUGACGGAAGGGCACCACAAGGAGUGGAGCCUGCGGCUUAAUUUGACCCAACACGGGGAAACUUACCAGGUCCAGACAUAGUGAGGAUUGACAGAUUGACAGCUCUUUCUUGAUCCUAUGGGUGGUGGUGCAUGGCCGUUCCUAGUUGGUGGAGUGAUCUGUCUGGUUAAUUCCGAUAACGAACGAGACUCUAGCCUGCUAAAUAGUACGCCGAUCUUUAGUCGGCGCGUACUUCUUAGAGGGACAAGUAGCGGUAAGCUACACGAAAUUGGGCAAUAACAGGUCUGUGAUGCCCUUAGAUGUUCGGGGCCGCACGCGCGCUACACUGACGCAACCUGCCAGUUCCAAGCCCGAACCGGCC